rnacentral:lncRNA from 1 species
AAUAAGACCACAUAAUUUUAAAGUUAGCAAAUAUCAGUGACCAUUGAAAAGAGAUUUGAACAAGAGUUCCCAGAACAAAAAUGAUGUUUUCUUAGGUAGUUCUACCACCUGAGGGUCAUCCUAUCAACAGGGAAAUAAGUUCAACUUUGUCAUAAAUUUUAGAAUUCUACCAAACAAAGGAGAAUUAUUAAGUGGACUCUUCCUCUGGUAAAUCAUUCUAAGUGAGGCUUCCUAACAUCUUACUAGCCUAGGAUUAAUAUCAGCCCAUUUUUUGGAGGAGAACCAACAAGACUGGCUAUUUGACUGGAUCCCCCAAUUGGUUUACUCCAAGAUUCCUCUUCAUUGGCUUAAGAAGAUACAAGACAGGAGUCUCCAAUCCUUAGACCAUGGACCAAUAUCAACCAUGGCCAGUUAGCAACCCGGUAACAAAGCAGGAGGAAUAUGUUUAAUACUGUUCAAAAGAAGAGAAGGAAAGAAAAGCAAAAAGAACAGAGGAAAAGAAACCCAGAGGCAAGGAAUAAAAAAGUCCUAUACAAAAAGACUCCACCACAAAGAAGAUUGAGAGGCACAAGGAAAAUCAGCCCUGAGAAGUAAAUACUGUUGCUGUCAUCCCUAUUUUACAAAUGAGGAAACAAAAAUAGAGAAAUGAAGCAAUUUGUCCAAGAUCACUCUGCUGGCAAGCAACAGAACCAGGAGUUUAACCCAGGUAAAUGUGCUGUUAACCCCAUAGCAUAGACACCUCUGGACUUCUGAAACAGAAUCCUGUGACCACCGUGGAUGAAACAUAGACUCUCAUUAAGCUGCAGUUCCAAUGCCUGAGUAGCGUGAAUUGCUUCUAUGAUAAGGCAUUAUUUAGCCUUUGCCUGAAACAGCCCUAAUGAGAAGGAUCUCGCCACCUCAUGGCAUGGUCCAGUUCAUUUUCAGAAGCUUUCUUUGUAAUCUGUGCUUAUAAAAUUGUUAACAGGGGAUAGCUAAUAAAAUGGCCUCCUAAAAACUCUA